UUGGGUCUUGGUACUACAUGUACAGGAUAGGUGGGAGGCUUUGAAACCAGGACGCCAGUUUUGGCGGAGCCAUCCUUGGGAUACCACCCUUGUAGUACUGGGACUCUAACCAUAGGCCAUGAAUCUGGUCUUGGGACACUGUCAGGUGGGCAGUUUGACUGGGGCGGUCGCCUCCCAAAAGGGAACGGAGGCGCUCAAAGGUUCUCUCAGUACGGUCGGAAAUCGUACGUAGAGGGUAAAGGCAAAAGAGAGCUUGAUUGCAAGACAUACAGGUCGAGCAAGGAUGAAAAUCGGACUUAGUGAUCCGGUGGUUCUGCGUGGAAGGGCCAUCGCUCAACGGAUAAAAGCUACCCUGGGGAUAACAGGCUUAUCUCCCCCAAGAGUCCACAUCGACGGGGAGGUUUGGCACCUCGAUGUCGGCUCAUCACAUCCUGGGGCUGUAGUAGGUCCCAAGGGUUGGGCUGUUCGCCCAUUAAAGUGGUACGCGAGCUGGGUUCAGAACGUCGUGAGACAGUUCGGUCCCUAUCCGUCGCAGGCGUAGGAAAUUUGAGAAGACCUGUCCUUAGUACGAGAGGACCGGGAUGGACGUACCUCUGGUGUACCAGUUGUCCUGCCAAGGGCAUGGCUGGGUAGCUAUGUACGGAAUGGAUAAGCGCUGAAAGCAUCUAAGCGCGAAGCCAACUUCAAGAUAAGAUUUCCCACCGCAAGGGUAAGACCCCAGA
rnacentral:rRNA from 1 species